rnacentral:misc_RNA from 1 species
GAUGAAGAACGCAGCGAAAUGCGAUAAGUAAUGUGAAUUGCAGAAUUCAGUGAAUCAUCGAAUCUUUGAACGCACAUUGCGCCCCCUGGUAUUCCGGGGGGCAUGCCUGUUCGAGCGUCAUUUCACCACUCAAGCCUCGCUUGGUAUUGGGCAUCGCGGUCCGCCGCGUGCCUCAAAUCGACCGGCUGGGUCUUCUGUCCCCUAAGCGUUGUGGAAACUAUUCGCUAAAGGGUGUUCGGGAGGCUACGCCGUAAAACAACCCCAUUUCUAAGGUUGACCUCGGAUCAGGUAGGGAUACCCGCUGAACUUAAGCAUAUCAAUAAGCGGAGGA